rnacentral:lncRNA from 1 species
AAUAGACAUGUGAAUGCCAGGUGUCGCGAAAAUGAACUUUUUAAAUCAGCAUAGUUGCAUGAUCGAGACGAUAGAUCUCGCAAAUUAUGUAAUUGAGUGACAAAUUUAUGAAAUUAAUCUUUCACAUCUCUUUAUUGUUAACUUGUUUAGCAAAUUAUAGGAAUCGAAAAUAUUUUUCCGAGUAGAUAUUUCUACAGAUAUUUCUACAGUAUUCUAGAGUAUUGAAAUAUUCUUAAUUCAUGGGAUCGUUAAUCUUUCGUAAUAUAUUAAUUGCUUUUUCUUCCGCUAUCUAUCAACGUGUUAUCGUAAACGGUCAGAACAUCGAUAGUUUUCGUAUUGCGGAGAGUAAUGGAACAUUGCGUAACAUUGACCCUGCCCUCAUUUAUCAGAUUAUUUUGUGUUACGAAUUUGUAACGCUUUUGAAAUUAUGCUCGGUUAUAUUCGUUGUCGAUAUGUAAUCCAGUGCCGUACCAAGAAUAACGUAUCGUCGAAUUUGUUUUCUUAUCAGUUACAAGACUGUUGUAAUGAUUAUAUGUAGUAUCAUUUAAAGAUACUUCGAUAACCUUGAAAUCUCGAAAAAAAGUGGCCUCGAGAAAAUAUUUUUGACUAUCAACAUAUUUCCCCCUUAAUACCGAAUAUUCUUUUCUAUUAAUAUUUUUUCCUACCACAAAAGAUAAGUGAGCUAUUUAAGAUGGAUGCAAAUAUUUUUUGCAGCUACUCGCAAGUUAAUAUAAUCGAAGAAGUUCGAUUAAAAUUUCGUUCCAGUAAAUGGUGAUCAGAUACACCAGCUCAGCGAAUCAUUGAAAAAUUUCACGGCCACGUAUUUUCGAACUUAUCGAAAACUUUAACGAUAUAAACGCGAUAAUUGAUUCGAAACAAUGAUAAUGACAUGUCAAGAGUUUCGCAUAUCGCACGUAUAACGGGUAUACCUAUAUUUAUAAAAGAUAUCUGCAAAAUAUUUCUAACAUUUUCAUCAGUUAGUUCAAAUGAAAUUCUGCUGUGUACGAUCUGUUUCAUCCUCGAAAUGAUCAAACGAAUGUUUGUCUUUUUACUAACUUUAGAACCUUAACAAUGUCAACUGGCAAGGUUGCUGUCGCAUAUUAUCUCUCUAUUCGUUUCUCGUUGAGACAGAAUUCAUCGUGUAGAUGUUCUCUUGUUAAAUUGGUCAGUUAACCAGGCAGUAGAAUACUUUCAGUGGAUCGAGAACGAUCAACUACAGUAACUAUUUACGUGUAUCUCGUGAGAAAAUUAGUGAACCGUAGUUACAUUAUACAUUAUACAUUUGAUUUCCAUAGACACGAUGAACUUGGUCUGUAUGUAAUGUACAUUGCCGGCCAUAAACGCAAGCGCAAACAAUCGUUACAUUUGUUUAGAAAGUUGGUAGUUUACUUCUGAAAGGAGUACAAUCCGAUAAACAGGAUCGCUAAACUGAAGUAUUGAAGGUUACUAAGUUACUCAUGUAUACAUGUAGCACGAUUAUUUAUUGCAGACAGUCUGUAGCUGUUGACGACGCUGUUUAUAUAUCUCUUGA